rnacentral:rRNA from 1 species
UGGGGAAUAUUCCGCAAUGGCCGCAAGCCUGACGCAGCGACGCCGCGUGGGGGAUGAAGCCUUUCGGUGUGUAAACCCCUGUUGCCCGGGAAGAACAACUGGUUUCGACCAGCCUGACGGCACCGGGUGACGAAGCACCGGCUACCUCCGUGCCACCAGCCGCGGAAAUACGGUGGGUGCGAGCGUUGUGCGGAACCACCGGGGGUGAUGGGCGCGGAGGCGGUCUGAUACGGGUGGGGUGAACGCAUG